UUGAAGGUUACUCCAAACUGUCAAGAUUUAGGAUAUUCAAGAAAAGAUUUAACUAGUUUUAGUGUCAGACUUUAAAAUUUCCUAAGGAAUUUGGUAAGAAAUAGAAGUCCACUCUAUAAGCAUUGAGGAAACUUUGAAAAACCUUUAAGUAAAUGUAAGACUCUUAAUGACUAAACCCAUCGGAGUGGAUGAGUGUUCCCCUGGAGGCUUGUGUUUGAGACCUGUGCUGUAAGCCUCCCACUUGACCUUCAGCGUAAUGUUUCCCACCUGCUCAGAGUGUCAGCACUCGUCACUAGGCUUUCCAGGGCUAAGUCCUUCCUGUUCACAUGUUCUCACACUUUUU
rnacentral:lncRNA from 1 species